rnacentral:rRNA from 1 species
UAACGGCGAGUGAAGCGGCAAUAGCUCAAAUUUGAAAUCUGGCUCUUUCAGGGUCCGAGUUGUAAUUUGUAGAGGAUGCUUCGGCUUCGGUACCGGUCUAAGUUCCUUGGAACAGGACGUCACAGAGGGUGAGAAUCCCGUAUGUGAUCGGUGCCCCCGCCAUGUGAAGCUCCUUCGACGAGUCGAGUUGUUUGGGAAUGCAGCUCUAAAUGGGAGGUAAAUUUCUUCUAAAGCUAAAUAUUGGCCAGAGACCGAUAGCGCACAAGUAGAGUGAUCGAAAGAUGAAAAGCACUUUGGAAAGAGAGUUAAAAAGUACGUGAAAUUGUUGAAAGGGAAGCGCUUGCAAUCAGACUUGCCCGCGGUUGCUCAACCGGUCUUUUGGCCGGUGCACUCUUCCGCGGUCAGGCCAGCAUCAGUUCGGGCGGUCGGAUAAAGACUUUGGGAAUGUGGCUCUCUUCGGGGAGUGUUAUAGCCCUUUGUGCAAUGCGGCCCGCCUGGACUGAGGUCCGCGCUUCGGCUAGGAUGCUGGCGUAAUGGUUGUAAGCGGCCCGUCUUGAAACACGGACCAAGGAGUCUAACAUCUAUGCGAGUGUUUGGGUGUCAAACCCGUACGCGUAAUGAAAGUGAACGGAGGUGGGAACCUUAGGGUGCACCAUCGACCGAUCCUGAUGUCUUCGGAUGGAUUUGAGUAUGAGCAUAGCUGUUGGGACCCGAAAGAUGGUGAACUAUGCCUGAAUAGGGUGAAGCCAGAGGAAACUCUGGUGGAGGCUCGCAGCGGUUCUGACGUGCAAAUCGAUCGUCAAAUUUGGGUAUAGGGGCGAAAGACUAAUCG